UGCCCCUGGCCCCGCCCACUCCCCAACGACCGCCCGCCCGCCGGCAGCGCGAGCCGCUCGGGGCCGCCUCAGGAACGGUCUCAGAGCGAGCUGUCGGCUCGGUUUAAUUUGUGACACAAACUGUUGGUUCGUAAGUGCACGAUGUUCCUGCGAAGGAAAAAACACCCCACGCUCGCUCGCGUGGUGUCGUAGGAAGGCCAGGCAAUUUUGUUUGAAGUGUCUGCACUCUUCUCUGCAUUGCAUGAGGUGCCAAGACCAGUGGGAGUUUGCCUGAGGUAAGAGCUGUGGGUUUGGAUGUAUUCUUCCAUUUUUAUUAGGCCU
rnacentral:lncRNA from 1 species